GCCACGGUGGUUUAGCGGUUAGAACGCUGGCCUUGUAAUCCUGGGGUCUCGGGUUCGAUUCCCGGCGGUGCCC
rfam:Zootermopsis nevadensis contig26480, whole genome shotgun sequence.